rnacentral:lncRNA from 1 species
GUAAAUUUCCUUUGAUCGAGGAACCCAGCACAUCGCAGGCACAAGUUCAGGCAUAACUGCCUUGUAGCACUGGAUAUGCCUGAUGGGAGAGAAAAUGUGUGUCUCAAGUAAUGUUUUAGGCUACCUUCAAACUCCAGUUCCGUCAUUUUACAAAUUGAGAAAUUUAUUAGUCAUUAUUUAAAUAUAUAUCCUUACGCAAAUCUCUCAUAAAGAAAACAAGUGAAUGGAACAUGGUUUUUCAGGUGUGAAGGGAGCACUGAUUUUGCAUCUAUGGAGACUGAAAGGAGCCGGUUAUUGUGUAACCAAAACUACGAAGGCUUUCAGACUUGGGGGAAAGAGACAGGAAAGCGCCUGAGGCAUGAUGGGCAAUUCGCAGAUCCCUUCCGAAGUCAAAGGAGAGAUUGCGCGGUGGCAUGUGUACCAGGAUGUGGGGAUCACACAACCAACGUACGGCAAGCCUGCCACACCUUUCCCAGCUGGAAUAUAGGCAUGUGGCAUCAUUUCUGUUUUUUUUUUUCUUAAGAUUUAUUUAUAUGUGAAAGGCAGAGUUAGAGUCUCUAACUUGGUGAUGCCCCCACACAAUUCAGCUCAGCUUCAUUAAGGUUGAAUAUCCACCUCAAUGAUUAACAAGACAUAAGGAGUGAUGUCACGGGGCCAGCACUGUGGCGUAGUGGGUUAACCGGCCACUGCCUAUGUUCCUACUCUAUUUUAUGAAAAGAAGUAUUUCAUGAUUAUAAAUAAGACUUGUGCUAUCUGGUACAUCCUGCUGUACACCCAUUUCUGUUGUUCCACCUAAACUCUCUAGGAUGCAAACUGUGUGAUUUAAACAAAAAUGGUUAUGCCUGUUUAGGGUGGGGAGACUCAGGAGAUGUAAUGAGUUUCAGACACAGGUGACAGGUUGCAUCCACAGCUGAUGCAAAUAUAAAGGGAACAUUGAGGGAAGGUUUUUUUUUUUUCCCCCCUAGUGUAACACUUAAUGAAAAUGAAUGUGGCCUUUUGAAAUAUUCAGAGGCUAUUUAUAGUUUUGUUCACAGACAAGAAGUACAAUUUAGUAUCCUAAUGUUUGAAGUAUAUUAUAUAUAAUUUUCAGUACAAAUGUUAGAACAUAGGUAAUCUGGCAUUCACAUAACUCAGAAUAUAUCCUUCGAUUAGGUAAUUGUACGUAUUCAGAAGAAAACUGUGCUGAAGAGUUUCAAUACACCCAAGUACGCUAGAGAAUGAAAAGCAAGGCGAGAGCGUGUGUUUGCUGCACCUGAAUAAAGUCCCGGAGCAGGAGCCA